CAGUAGCCGCGGUAAUACGAAGGGGGCUAGCGUUGCUCGGAAUCACUGGGCGUAAAGGGUGCGUAGGCGGGUCUUUAAGUCAGGGGUGAAAUCCUGGAGCUCAACUCCAGAACUGCCUUUGAUACUGAAGAUCUUGAGUUCGGGAGGGGUGAGUGGAACUGCGAGUGUAGAGGUGAAAUUCGUAGAUAUUCGCAAGAACACCAGUGGCGAAGGCGGCUCACUGGCCCGAUACUGACGCUGAGGCACGAAAGCGUGGGGAGCAAACAGGAUUAGAUACCCGCGUAGUCCCUGUCUCUUAUAC
rnacentral:rRNA from 1 species